rnacentral:other from 1 species
CGAUCCCUGCGAUGUUCGUGAUGCUCUGAUUGGUAUUGAGCCAACGGUUCUGUAUAGGGAGCCUAGUUCCAGUGGCGAGUUCUGUAUGGAUUGCUAUCUAUCUGAACCGCCGGACGGGCACCCACCUGCGAUUGCAGGUUCAUUACUAAGCGAGCACACGGCACCGCGGGGAUUCU